CAUACAGUAACUUUGCUUAUAAAAUGCCGUCUUGUGUGAUUAAAUGGUGCAAAAACAAUUCCAAAGUAAACAAAAAAUCUGAAGGAAUAUCGUUUCACACGUUUCCAACGAAUAUUUUAAUAAGAGGUGAAUGGGUAGCGGCUGUAAGACUGAGAAAAUGACCACGAUUAUGCUGGCCAUGCGCAUAAAGUGAAUUUAAUACGAUUAGUGAUUGAAAAAUAUUUGAACAUAAAACUACAUCAUAUUAGUAAAAUGCAAACAAUGACGAUGACUCUGAGUUCUAAGC
rnacentral:misc_RNA from 1 species